rnacentral:rRNA from 1 species
UGUCCGCCCGUUAAAGCGGCACGCGAGCUGGGUUCAGAGCGUCGUGAGACAGCUCGGUCUCUAUCCGCUGUGCGCGUAGGAUAUUUGAGGGGAUCUGUUCUUAGUACGAGAGGACCGGAAUGGACGAACCAAUGGUGUGCCGGUUGUGACGCCAGUUGCAUUGCCGGGUAGCUAUGUUCGGAAAGGAUAAAAGCUGAAAGCAUCUAAGCAUGAAGCCUACCCCAAGAUACGAUAUCCCAUCUUUUUAUAAGAAUAAGACCUCCGGUAGACUACCGGUUAGAUAGGCCACGUGUGUAAGAGUAGUAAUAUUUUGAGCUAAGUGGUACUAAUAGGUCGAAGGCUUGACUCACC